AUUCAAUCCCAAAUUCAUUUUUGUUAUUUUUUAACCUAAUCAGUUCUUUCUUCACAGCAGCCAGUUCGUCUUCUCUGCAGCAGCCAAUUCAUUUGUGUUAUCUGUGUUCCGAUUCAUCUCGAGUAUGCUCAUUGCCUCAUUCUUCCUCGCCUUCAAGCCAAACGCAAACGAGACACUUCAACUGCUCCAAUCCAUGUUCGACGUGCUUCCACACGAUAUCACAGUCGAAUGAAACGGUCGAGAUUGCGUCUUCAUCCGGCGGCUAGAGCUGGAUCAAUUGUUUCGUUAAAUCUGUUUUGUGGAUGUUCGAGUGAGUUGCGGAACU